CUCUUAGAUGUUCUGGGCCGCACGCGCGCUACACUGAUGCAUUCAACGAGCCUAUCCUUGACCGACAGGUCCGGGUAAUCUUUGAAUCUGCAUCGUGACGGGGAUAGAUUAUUGCAAUUAUUAAUCUUCAACGAGGAAUGCCUAGUAGGCGCAAGUCAUCAGCUUGCGUCGAUUACGUCCCUGCCCUUUGUACACACCGCCCGUCGUUUCUUCCGACUGAUACUCAAUGUGAAUUAUAGGGAGCUUUGCGAACUGUCGUGAAUGUUGAGUAUUGGAGGAGGAAAAAGUCGUAACA
rnacentral:rRNA from 1 species